UUGUCUUGUUUGAACCUGCUCAGCCAUUUUAGAAACAACCUUCCAGGCUUCUUUCUUCGAGUUUGCAGCUCAGAACGAAAACAAGAGACUCUUCUCUUGGUGGGAACCAACAGCCCUGAUCCAGUGCCAGCUGGAAGCCAAAGAACCCGGUGAACAGUGAACAGAGAUCCCAGUGAGCAGCUGGAGUCUCCCUCCUGUCUGGACCCCUGUGACUGUGACAGCUUGAUCCAAACCCCUUGGAGACCACAGGCAGUUUUACAAACUAAAUUAAUCCGCAGUUUUUCAUCAGGUGUGCCAGCAGAUGCAGAGCAGCUCACAAGGGAAGUCAACUCAGUUCUUGCUGGUAUUAUCUGAGUUACCAAGGUACUGGUUUCCUCCUCCCUGGCACUGGGGUUUGGGGGUAACUCAUCCAUCUCUUUCUAAUCCAUGUAUUUCCAUUUUCCAACUGCAGGGACAAAAGCAAGGAUUGCCCAAUUCAAGGGACAGAAACAACUCAAGAACGAGCUUGUAAACACUUUUGGAGAAGGCCUUGUUGCCACUUUAAGAAAACCCUUGUAGGGACAUUAUUUGCCUCUGGCUCAGGAAGAGGGAACACCUGCCAGGGAAUCUGCUCCUGCAGAAAUUCCAGUGACACUGUGUGAGGCAGCAAGGGAGGGGGGGGAUUUAAGAGGUGUAACAAAAGAGAACAACAGAACAAUAGGAGCAGUAUAUCACUGACUUCAGCCCCAGUUAUUUCUCUCUUAUAGAAAAAAAAUCAUAUGUCCUGUUGCAGCACUGACUCCAAACUAAGCCCAGCACGGCUCUGGGGCUGUUCAUGGAGACAGGCUGGAAGAACAACCUAUUUCUGUUAUCUCCCCACACCCCCAGCACACAAUGCAUCCUCCAGGCCAA